rnacentral:rRNA from 1 species
GGUUAAGCGACUAAGCGUACACGGUGGAUGCCCUGGCAGUCAGAGGCGAUGAAGGACGUGCUAAUCUGCGAUAAGCGUCGGUAAGGUGAUAUGAACCGUUAUAACCGGCGAUUUCCGAAUGGGGAAACCCAGUGUGUUUCGACACACUAUCAUUAACUGAAUCCAUAGGUUAAUGAGGCGAACCGGGGGAACUGAAACAUCUAAGUACCCCGAGGAAAAGAAAUCAACCGAGAUUCCCCCAGUAGCGGCGAGCGAACGGGGAGCAGCCCAGAGCCUGAAUCAGUGUGUGUGUUAGUGGAAGCGUCUGGAAAGGCGCGCGAUACAGGGUGAC